rnacentral:rRNA from 1 species
AGCAGCCGCGGUAAUUCCAGCUCCAAUAGCGUAUAUUAAAGUUGUUGCAGUUAAAAAGCUCGUAGUUGAAUUUCGGGAUCAAUAUUUCGGUCAUGCCGUUGGUAUGCACUGUUAUCAUUGAUUUCUCACCUUCUAAAGAACCGUAAUGCCAUUAAUUUGGUGUUACGGGGAAUUAGGACUGUUACCUUGAAAAAGUUAGAGUGUUUAAAGCAGGCUCACGCUUGAAUACAUUAGCAUGGAAUAAUGAAGUAGGACAUCCGAUUCUAUUUUGUUGGUUUCUAGGAUCGAUGUAAUGAUUAAUAGGGAUAGUUGGGGGCAUUAGUAUUCAAUUGUCAGAGGUGAAAUUCUUGGAUUUAUUGAAGACUAACUACUGCGAAAGCAUUUGCCAAGGAUGUUUUCAUUAAUCAAGAACGAAAGUUAGGGGAUCGAAGACGAUCAGAUACCGUCGUAGUCUUAACCAUAAACUAUGCCGACUAGGGAUCGGAUGAUGUUAAUUUUUUAAUGACUCAUUC